CCUACGGGAGGCAGCAGUGGGGAAUAUUGGACAAUGGGGGGAACCCUGAUCCAGCCAUGCCGCGUGUGUGAAGAAGGCCCUCGGGUUGUAAAGCACUUUCAGUGAGGAAGAACGCCUGGUGGUUAAUACCCAUCAGGAAAGAUAUCACUCACAGAAGAAGCACCGGCUAACUCCGUGCCAGCAGCCGCGGUAAUACGGAGGGUGCGAGCGUUACUCGGAAUUACUGGGCGUAAAGCGCGCGUAGGUGGCUUGAUAAGCCGGUUGUGAAAGCCCCGGGCUCAACCUGGGAACGGCAUCCGGAACUGUCAAGCUAGAGUGCAGGAGAGGAAGGUAGAAUUGCCGGUGUAGAGGUGAAAUGCGUAGAGAUCGGGAGGAAUACCAGUGGCGAAGGCGGCCUUCUGGACUGACACUGACACUGAGGUGCGAAAGCGUGGGUAGCAAACAGGAUUAGAUACCCCGGUAGUC
rnacentral:rRNA from 1 species